rnacentral:rRNA from 1 species
AAUAUUUGACAAUGGGGGCAACCCUGAUCCAGCCAUGCCGCGUGUGUGAAGAAGGUCUUCGGAUUGCAAAGCACUUUAAGUUGGGAGGAAGGGCUUUAGUCUAAUACCUUGCAGUUUGUACGUUACCAACAGAAUAAGCACCGGCUAACUCUGUGCCAGCAGCCGCGGUAAUACAGAGGGUGCAAGCGUUAAUCGGAAUUACUGGGCGUAAAGCGCGCGUAGGUGGUUCAGUAAGAUGGGUGUGAAAUCCCCGGGCUUAACCUGGGAACUGCUUUCAUAACUGCUGAGCUAGAGUACGGUAGAGGGUAGUGGAGUUUCCUGUGUAGCGGUGGAAUGCGUAGAUAUAGGAAGGAACACCAGUGGCGAAGGCGACUACCUGGACUGAUACUGACACUGAGGUGCGAAAGCGUGGGGAGCAAAC